AUGGAUUAUAGAAAGACCAAACCCAAGGACCCCAAAACUCGGAGGAGCCCAAGGAACCGGAGCCCAGACACCCCAAAACCUGCAGAGCCAGAGCCUGGACACCCUGAAACCCCGAGAGCCAGAGCACAGAAUUCCAGAGAGCUGCAGCCAGGACACCAGAGACCCGGAGCCCUGAAACCUGGGAGCCCCGAAAUCCAGAGAUCCCAGAAUCCCGGGGCCCAUCAGCCCGUCCCGGGGGGCAGGACACACAUCCAGCCCUGUGUCCGGCCAGGAGGGUCCCUCACCCCAGAGCAAACAGUGGCAUGUGGCAGGUGUGACCGUCCCCAGCUGUGCCAGGUCACCAUGGAGCCGUGCCCGGCGCAGCCCCAGGAGGCCCUGCUGACGGUCAAUGAGCAGGUACAGCCCCCCCUGCCCCCCAACACCGGCCCAGGGCCUGAGACACCUGCAGGAAAUUCCAGAGCCUCACCUGGCCCUGCACCACCUGUGGGGCUGGAGGGGACACUCAGGUGUGGGGUGUGGGCUCUGUUUUGGGGUGCUGUGGAUGUGGGGGGUACCCACUGUGUUUUGGGGUGCUGCAGGUCUGGGGGUACCAGCUUGAUGGGUUAAUACAGGCUCAGGUGGAACAGCCAGGUUUAAUUAAUCAUUAAUUAAUGUCCCUGUGGGGAGUUUUACCCUCUCUGAUGUAACACCGUGGUCAUCCCCAGUCCUCGGGGCCGGGCCCAGAAAUGAGUCUGGGGGCACUUUGGAGGCUCUGAUGGUUCCUGGCCAUGCUGGGACCCUCUGAGGGGCUGAGCCAGCCCUGCCCCAGCGGGAGUGGGAAUGGCCCUCCUUGAACCCCAUUUUCCAUUUCAUGGCCCCAUUUACCCCUCAGGACAUCAUUUACCAUUUCAGAACCCCAUUUAUUCCCUUUUAGGGGCACAUUUCAGGAACCCAUUUACCCUUCCGGGACCCCAUUUAUUCCCUGAGGAUCCUUUUUCUCUUCAGGACCCCAUUUACCCCUUCAGGGCCACACUCGGAAUAGGAAUGUCCCUCGGGAAAGGGAAUGUCCCUUGGGAAUGUCCUUGGGAGUAGGAAUGGCCCAACACCUCCCGGGGUGGGUCUGAGGGGGUUUUGCAGUUGUGAAAGGCAGGACCUGCCUGAUGGAUGAGGAAUCCAGUCCCAGGGGGAUAAGGAUCCCAAUCCCAGGGGGAUGAGGAUCCCAAUCCCAGGGGGAUGAGGAUCCCAAUCCCAGGGGGAUGAGGAUCCCAAUCCCAGGGGGAUGAGGAUCCCAAUCCCAAGGGGAUGAGGAUCCCAAUCCCAUCGGGAUGAGGAUCCCAAUCCCAUCGGGAUGAGGAUCCCAAUCCCAUCGGGAUGAGGAUCCCAAUCCCAGGGGGAUGAGGAUCCCAGUCCCAUCGGGAUGAGGAUCCCAAUCCCAGGGGGAUGAGGAUCCCAAUCCCAAGGGGAUGAGGAUCCCAAUCCCAGGGGGAUGAGGAUCCCAAUCCCAUCGGGAUGAGGAUCCCAAUCCCAUCGGGAUGAGGGAUGAGGAUCCCAAUCCCAUCGGGAUGAGGAUCCCAAUCCCAGGGGGAUGAGGAUCCAAUCCCAGGGGGAUGAGGAUCCCAAUCCCAGGGGGAUGAGGAUCCCAAUCCCAGGAGGAUGAGGAUCCCAAUCCCAGGGGGAUGAGGAUCCAAUCCCAGGGGGAUGAGGAUCCCAAUCCCAGGGGGAUGAGGAUCCCAAUCCCAUCGGGUUGAGGAUCCCAAUCCCGCCCCUGCAGGGGCUGCUCCUCACGGCCCUUUCUCCCUGCUCUGGCUCCAGCCCCAGCACAAACCCGUCCCCUCCUCCCCGGGCUGGGCAGGGGGUGCAAACCAUUAACCCCGAACAUUUCCUGCUCUCCCACCUCCCCCCGGCUCAGAACAGCCAAAUCUUCCUGGAUGGGGCUGAUUUUCACCGAGGGGAGAGAAGGAGGAGAGGGGAGAGGGGGAAGAGGUGGACGGGAGAUGCCCCAGAGCUGCAGAACACAAAACCAGGAGGCAAUGACGGCUCAAUUCCCCCUCACCACUGAGCCCCAAAGCCAGGAAAACCGAGAGCCUGGGACCCAUCCUUUGAACCUUGCUGUGCUUGGAGGGCUCCCUGCUCUGCUCAGGGAUCUCCUGCUCCUCACCAAGGCCUGGUGGUCUCUCCCUGGUGCCACAGCCCUGCCCUGCAGUGCCACUGAACUCCCCAGCCAGGCUCUUUUAACAGCAGAUCCAGAGCAAGCUGCUUUUGUAGGGCUGGGUUUGGGAGCUGCUGGAGCUGGGGUUUGAUUCCCCCAGGGCACAGCCAGUCCAGUGUUUUGAGACAGGUACAUCAGGUGAUGUUUUCUAAAGUAAAUCAGGUUAAAUGUGUUCUCUAGCAUUGGACACACUUCCAUCUCCCACCUGUCAGCAUUCCUUGCAUUCCAUGCACAGCCCAUUGGGAUCCAUCCCUUUCCCUGUGAGAAAAACAGGUUCACUCUCCUGAUAAAAUUUAAAAGUUUAGUAAAGGACAAUAGGAGACAAAGACAAUAAAGCCAAGUUUAUCAGCUGGGUGCUUGGCA
ensembl:lncRNA